rnacentral:rRNA from 1 species
UACGGGGGGGGCAAGCGUUGUUCGGAAUUACUGGGCGUAAAGGGUUUGUAGGUGGCCAACUAAGUCAUGCGUGAAAUCCCUCAGCUUAACUGGGGAACUGCGUCUGAUACUGGUUGGCUUGAGUGCAGGAGAGGAAUGCGGAAUGCCAGGUGUAGCGGUGAAAUGCGUAGAUACCUGGAGGAACACCAGUGGCGAAGGCGGCAUUCUGGACUGUAACUGACACUGAGGAACGAAAGCCAGGGGAGCAAACGGG